rnacentral:lncRNA from 1 species
CAAGUGGCACUGUUUUGGGAGCUGUCUGUAAUCCACCAAGCGACUGAACUCAUCCACUGCGUAGGAGUUGUGGGGCAGCCAUGCUUCUCUACAAGGAUACAGAUACCAGAUGAUGAAAUGGAGGCAUACAGAGUACAAAUGAAAUUUGCGGCCGGGCAUGGUGGCUCACUCCUGUAGUCCCAGCACUUUGGGAGGCCGAGGCAGGUGGAUCACGUGAGGUCAGGAGACCAGUAUGGCCAACAUGGUGAAACCCCGUCUCUACUAAAAAUACAAAAAUUAGCCAGGCAUGGUGGCAGGCACGUGUAAUCCUAGCCUCUCGGGAGGCUGAGGCAGGAGAAUGCUUGAACCUGGGAGGCGGAAAUUGUAGUGAGCUGAGACCAUGCCAUUGCACUCCAACCUGGGCAACAAGAGCAAGACUCCAUCUCAAAAAAAAAGAAGAAGAAAAGAAAUUUGUGGCUGGGGGCAGUGGCUCACGCCU